rnacentral:rRNA from 1 species
GACAGAGGGUGCAAACGUUGUUCGGAAUCACUGGGCGUAAAGCGCAUGUAGGCGGCUUGGCAAGUCGGAUGUGAAAGCCCACGGCUCAACCGUGGAAGCGCACUCGAAACUGCCAGACUAGAGUCCUGGAGAGGAAGGCGGAAUACUCGGUGUAGAGGUGAAAUUCGUAGAUAUCGAGUGGAACACCGGUGGCGAAGGCGGCCUUCUGGACAGUGACUGACGCUGAAAUGCGAAAGCGUGGGGAGCAAAC